CCUACGGGGUGCAGCAGUGGGGAAUUUUGGACAAUGGGGGCAACCCUGAUCCAGCCAUGCCGCGUGAGUGAAGAAGGCCUUCGGGUUGUAAAGCUCUUUCGGCCGGGAAGAAAUCGCUCAAGCUAAUACCUUGGGUGGAUGACGGUACCGGAAGAAGAAGCACCGGCUAACUACGUGCCAGCAGCCGCGGUAAUACGUAGGGUGCGAGCGUUAAUCGGAAUUAGUGGGCGUAAAGCGUGCGCAGGCGACGCCCGGGGCUUAACCUGGGAACUGCGUAUGGUACUGUGGUGCUCGAGUGCGGCAGAGGGGGGUGGAAUUCCACGUGUAGCAGUGAAAUGCGUAGAGAUGUGGAGGAACACCGAUGGCGAAGGCAGCCCCCUGGGUCGACACUGACGCUCAUGCACGAAAGCGUGGGGAGCAAACAGGAUUAGAUACCCUGGUAGUC
rnacentral:rRNA from 1 species